rnacentral:rRNA from 1 species
UACGUAGGGUCCAAGCGUUGUCCGGAUUUAUUGGGCGUAAAGAGCUCGUAGGCGGUUGGGUAAGUCGGGUGUGAAAACUCCGGGCUCAACUCGGAGACGCCACCCGAUACUGCUCUGACUUGAGUCCGGUAGGGGAGUGGGGAAUUCCUGGUGUAGCGGUGAAAUGCGCAGAUAUCAGGAGGAACACCGGUGGCGAAGGCGCCACUCUGGGCCGGAACUGACGCUGAGGAGCGAAAGCGUGGGUAGCAAACAGG